rnacentral:rRNA from 1 species
UACGAAGGGGGCGAGCGUUGUUCGGAUGUACUGGGCGUAAAGGGCGCGUAGGCGGCGAUCCAAGUUAGGCGUGAAAGCCCCGGGCUUAACCUGGGAAUUGCGCUUAAGACUGGACUGCUUGAGUGCGGGAGAGGUGAGUGGAAUUCCCAGUGUAGAGGUGAAAUGCGUAGAUAUCUGGAGGAAUACCGGUGGCGAAGGCGGCAUCCUGGACCGGCAUUGACGCUGAGGAGCGAAAGCCAGGGGAGCAAACGGG